CAUCCCCGUUCAGGUCUUCACACAAGGGCAAUUGAUUUGUUCCAUUAGAAAGUGAACUUGUUGUGUUGAAUGUUAGAGAAAAAAGGGUGUUAAUUAUUACAGAAAAAACUGAAUGUUUGUUCUCUCCCUUCGACCCUCAUCCAAUCCAUUGUUGAUUCUUAUGCAGCAAUGAUAUCAGAUUUCAGUAAAUGAAUGCAGAUUAGGGUAAAAGGGAGGUGACAGAAGAGAGUGAGCACACAUGGUACUUUCUUGGAUGAUAAGGUUUCAUGCUUGAAGCUAUGUGUGCUUACUCUCUAUCUGUCACCCCAUCUUCAUCUCUUUCUUUCAAUCCUCUUGUUCUUCACUUUCUGUUAAUAUAUAUAUGUAUCUGAUUUUUGUUUUCACUUUCCCUUCAUAUAAGUAACCCUAAGGCUCGUGUUGUCAUAUCAUUCAGUAUAUUAUGCUUUAUGGGCAUCUCAUUCCAUGUCUCAGGUAUGUAUUGCUGGUUUCCACAUAUGGAUUUUUCUUGAUUAGCAUGCAGAUUUGAAGUGCAUCAGUUUCCUCAAGAAAAGUAAUUUUAUUUCUGUUUUCGCUUAUAGAGAGCCUACUUUCACAGAUACAAUAAGUAUCUGUAACUCUAAUUAGUUGAUGAAUUUUGAUCUUGUAUGCUCUCAGUUAGCCUCAGUUUAAGAGGUUAAUCACUGAAAACAGUUUUAUAUUUUCAUCUGAUGACAGUUUAGACACAAGAUUCUAUUUAAAACCCAUCUUAAUUUUCGUUUAUUUUACUCAUGAAUUUACCAGAUUAACUGCUAGGGUUUUGGGGAUACUCAGUUAAGAAGAAAAAUUGAUCAGCAAAGGUAUGGAUUUUGUGACGGAAAAAUGGGAUUCUUUGUAGUAAUGAACAUGGUUUUACAGAAGUAUAGAUUUAACUGAAAUUAAAUCUUGAUUUUGUUGGUUAGGUUUUAUCUGGUAUAUAUAUGUAUAUGUACUCAUCUCUCUUUUCUUUAUUUUAAAUUUUGGGAUUGAACUCAGAAGGAUUUUUGCAGUUGAAUUGAAAGUUAUGAACUACAAUCUUUCAAAAAGGUUGUAAAAGGUCUUGUUGAUGAAAUGGAGUGCAAACAAUUGAAAUCUUCCAGAAAACAGCUUGGUGGGAAAUUAAAACAACCAUAUGUAUGUUCUAUAUAUUUAGGGUUGAUAAAAAAAGGAAGAAAAAAGAGUUAUGGGGAAAAGGGAAUGCCUAAAUGAUAAGUGUGUCUGCAUAUUUAAUUUUUACCUGCACAAUCAUGUAAUUGUAAUUAAUACUCUGAUCAAAUAUACAUGCACCACUGCAUGCUAAAAUUGUACAAACUAUGCUAAUUGUGUAUAGGGUUAGCUUUUAUAUGUGUGUGUCUGUGUAUUAAGGGUACGUGAAAGAGCAAUAGUUUUAAUUAUUUUUUCUGCAUUGAUGUGUGUGUUUGUCUAGAUACAUUUCAUUUCUCUGACAAAAGUAAAUUAUUAUUAACAUAAU